rnacentral:rRNA from 1 species
GACGAACGCUGGCGGCGUGCCUAAUACAUGCAAGUCGAGCGAAGCGGCGGAUGGGUGAGUAACGCGUGGGUAACCUGCCCUUAAGUCUGGGAUACCAUUUGGCAACAGAUGCUAAUACCGGAUACUAAAGGAUUGACCUGCGAUGCAUUAGCUAGUUGGUAAGUUAACGUCUUACCAAGGCGCUGAUGCAAAGCCGAGUGUAGCGACGGAUCGGAAACAGUGGGACUGAGACACGGCCCAACCCCUUAAGGGAGGCAGCAGUAGGGAAUCUUCCACAAUGGACGAAAGUCUGAUGGAGCAACGCCGCGUGAGUGAAGAAGGUUUUCGGAUCGUAAAGCUCUGUUGUUGGUGAAGCGGUAAUCAACCAGAAAGUCACGGCUAACUACGUGCCAGCAGCCGCGGUAAUUC